GGCAAUGGUUCAGUAGCAGCAGACGCUGAGACGGCUGAGCCAACAGCACGUUAUCAUAUCAUAUCCUGUAACAUUUACAUGUGGUCACCAGGGUGGCAGAGGUCAUAGAUUGAUUUACCAAUGGUGUCAUCCGAGGACCAGUCACUCAGCUCAGAGAUCCUACAGUUAUUGAGAAAGUUUUCUACAAAGACUUACAAAGUAUCACAAUAUAUAAUACUGAAGUCAGGAUUAAGCCUCAUGAUGAACGUGUCGCUCUCUAUACGCAGCUCUGUGAUGGUAGGGGGAGGGAGAGCCACAGCCAUUCCCACCAUUCCCAUAAUGUGAGAUUGUAAUUUCCUGUUGACACCAAAACAUGACUGUUGUCGAAUAUGUCCAGUGAUGUACACCACCUGAUGGAAGAAGAUUUGUAUCUUGAAUGUGCCUGAGGACUCACAGCGUUCUGGGGUGGGAGGAGUUGAUGGCCUUGGAGUAGAGGGCGCUGAGCCACCAUCGGACUGCGAGUCUGGAGAUGGAACAUCCGACACAGACCCAGCUAGAAAAAAAAAAUACAACAUUCACAGAUACUAUAAUGUGACAGUCAAUUAAGAGAGACGUCUUGUCAGUGGUGGCAGCGUUUGUUUCUGUUCACCUGUCCAGGUAGCUCAUGUCACUGCCAUGAUAAAGGAGACAGAUUGCAGAGAGACAAUUUGUAGGAACUAAUAUAUGGAUUAAACCUGAAAUGAAGAGGACUGCAAUCAUUUCAUACUUUUUAUCUGAAGAUCCAUUGAUGGUAUCAGACUUACCUGAAAUCAAGCAGAGAAGUUCCCAUGCCGAAGGCAGAUGGUUGCAGCGGCUGGCGCAUUACAUCCCAGUGGGGGAAAAACGCUUGAUCGUUCAUACUUCAACACUGACUAAAACAGCAGGAAAAGGCCAGGGAAGACAAAUUUCACGGCUUAUUCAGUCGUUAGUGGCAUAUUGUCUUGCCCAAUUCCUGUACAUUUGAGAAAUCGUUACUGCUUAUCACAAGAACUAAUGAUAUUAAGAAAGCUAACUUGAAUUUGUUGAAGACAUUGGUGUGCGCCCAUGCGCAGAGAGUGAAGAACAUCCCCCCAUUGACGCUAAUUUAUUCGCACGGCUUCUUGAAUAAGGCAUUUUCUUUAUUUUGCUUUUACCCUCAUAUUGAUCUGGUUAAAGAAAAAGAGUCAACCUAAUUUGGCUUACUUGUGUAUGCUUCUCUCGUUGAUACUGAUUAGGAAAAGUCGCACUGACUUGUGAAAAAGAGUGCAUCUUUUAACUCAUCUGUACUAGCCGAAUCUCAAAGAAUUUGCACAUACAUUUGAAUACUUAUCUGUGCUAAAGUAAUCGAUGUGCUAUGUAGAAACACAUUUCCAAGGUUUUUCUAUAAUUACUAACAAAUGUCAAAAUUUUAGUUAAAAAUCGUAAGUAUUAGUUU